UAGUGCACAUCAGCACCUCCUCAUUUAAGUGGGACUCACAUUUAAUUUUUAUUUUUUUUGUUUUUUAAUGAUAUUUGUAAUUGAUUGUUGUGUGUUGAUUUUAAUGUUAUUUAUGAUCUAACUUGGUGGAUUGUCGAUUUCAAUUUCGCCGUUCAACAUUCCUAAUCUUCGCGUUAGAACAUUAUAUUCUCUGCUAGCUCUAGGCGAUGAUCUGCUAAAGUCAAAUAGAUUGUGGAAGGAGUUUUGCAGAAGAUCAGAAGACAGAUCGAAGAAUUGGAGAGGAUCUCUGGUGUGGAGAGUACCACUCUUACUGUUGAUGGAGUUCCUGUUGAUUCUUAUCUCACAAGGUUAGUAUAGGAUGAAGCUAAGUACCCAACAAUUUCACCUUUGAAGGAGGUUGUGGACAAUAUUCAGUCUCAGGUAGCCAAACAAAAUCAAUGUGACCGAUCUCACCGCAGCGAAAGAGUACUGGAUUUGGGUUUAUUUAACUGAAGAACAAUGAAAUUACAACUGAGGAAGUUUAUAACUGAGCCAGAUGAAGGUGGUCUCAAGUAUCUUAAGGAUAUCAACUAGAACGGGGCUGAAGAGCCAAAAUGGUUCAAGCUUGAGUUUUUCUUUGAUCAGAACCCCUACUUCAAGACACUGUCUUGACCAAGACAUAUCAUGUCGAUCAAGGAGUAAGCAUAGUUUGAAAGGAGAUUAACAAUAUCACUUGGCAAUUAGAUUCCACCAUAGACGAUAUUGGAUUCCCAUCACCGUCUUCCAACUGCAAGUUACCGGAUAGGCUAGAGGAGAGAGCAAGGAUCUGAAAGCUCCGGACGUUUUUAUUCAUCCAUUUCAUUUCUAUUGAGAAUUAAGAACAUCACCAAUUAUAUUUUGAGGGCUUUGUUGUCUAAGUGCCGUCUUCAUGAUUUUCAUCAGGAUCACUGGUUUGUUAGUCCAUUUAUAAAUGUGUAUGAGUGGCUGCAUAGCACACCAACAAUGUCGGAGGAACGAAAUGGAUGUGUUCCAAGAAGUUACUUUUGAAUGCAUCCAAAUACCCUCACGAGUUUGAAGACGUUUCUAGAUUUGGUUGUCGAUACGAUACUGACCUUUCUCAUGAUUAGAGCAUAUUGAUUGCCAACAAGAACGCUGAGCUGCAGAGCUGACGGGUAUCUCUAAGAACAUAAUGAAUAAUGCUAAUGUCAAGUUCAUUAAGGUCAUGGAAAGGUUAGACACUCACACUGUUGAUGUAGAUGUGAAAUUUAUACUUCCAGAUUGCUGUUGGUGGUGGACUUCACUCCAUUCUUGACACUCCAGGAAGAGAGUUUGCCAUAUAUUCUGAUGCCGCAGUUGAUUUGCCUUCUAAUACCAAUUAAGAUUUGAACUCGUCAAAUACAUAUAUCAUUUUUGGCGGGUUUAUCACAUUUGAAGUCGUCAAAUAUUUUUUUCAAUUUGAUUAUAUUUAGUAAGUUAAUAUUUUGUAAUUUAAUAAGACUGUGAUGGCUGUUACGGAAGAAAAGCAAAUUGUUAAAGUAAA